UACGUAGGAUGCGAGCGUUGUCCGGAAUUAUUGGGCGUAAAGAGCUCGUAGGCGGUGUGUCGCGUCGGCCGUGAAAACCUGGGGCUCAACUCUGGGCGUGCGGUCGAUACGGGCAUCACUGGAGUUCGGCAGGGGAGACUGGAAUUCCUGGUGUAGCGGUGAAAUGCGCAGAUAUCAGGAAGAACACCAAUGGCGAAAGCAGCUCUCUGGGACGGUACUGACGCUGAGACGCGAAAGCGUGGGGAGCGAACAGG
rnacentral:rRNA from 1 species